ensembl:lncRNA
CGUAUCGUUGACAUUCUUUUCUCUGUUUUUAUAUGCUUCUGAAGCUGGAUUUGACAGAUCAGAGACAAAAAUUUCACUGCUGGAAAAACUAACAAAAACUGUCUGGGUUGUGCCUGGGGUUGUUGUUGAUUGAGCUCUGGUUGUAGUUGUUGGUUCAGCCGUAGAUGUAAGUUGUGUUGUUGUUGUUGUUGUUUCUGUGGAAGGGACUGAGUUUACUGUAACAGUCAUAGAUUCUGUUGUUGCAGAUGCAGGUGAGUUUGUUGAGUCAGGUUUUUGUGUAGGUUUGGCAGUGGUUGUAGACAGAGUUUCAGUUGUUGCUGAGCAGUAUUGUAUCAGCUGUUGUGUCACUUUUAAGCAGAAUUGUGUCGUUUGUGUAGCUGAGCUUGAUGUAACAGUCAUGUUUGUUGUAACCAGGGUUGUAGAUUGAGCUGUACUUGUUGUAGGUAGGUAUGUUGUUGCUGUCUGUGUUGUGGUGCUGUGUUGGGAUGUAAUUGAUUGUUUUGUUGUAGAUGUUAAAACAGUUGUGGUUGUUGGUUCAGCCGUAGAUGUUAAAACAGUUAUGGUUGUUGGUUCAGCUGUAGAUGUAAGUUGUGUUGUUGUUGUUUCUGUAGGAGGGGCUGUAAUUGUAACCCGAGAUGUAGGUGUAGCUGAGUUUGUUGAAAUCAGGGUUGUAGAUUGAGCUGUACUUGUUGUAUGUAGGGAUGUUGUUGCUGUCUGUGUUGUGGUGCUUUGUUCGGGUAUAGUUGAUUUUUCAGUUGUAGAUGUUGACGCAGUUGUGGUUGUUGGUUCAGCUGUAGAUGUAAGUUGUGUGGUUGUUGUUUCUGUAGGAGGGGCUGUAGUUGUAAACAGAGUUGCAGUUGUAGGUGAGUUUGUUGUAACCUCAGUUGUGGAUUGAGCUGUACUUGUUGUAGGUAGGGAUGUUGUUGUUGACUGCAUUGUGGUGCUUUGUUCAGAUGUAGUUGAUUGUUCUGUUGUAGAUGUUAAAACAGUUGUCGUUGUUGGUUCAGCCAUAGAUGUAAGUUGUGUUGUUGUUUCUGUAGGAGGGGCUGUGGUUGUAAACUGAGAUGUACUUGUAAGUGAGUUUGCUGUAACCACGGUUGUAGAUUGAGGUGUAUUUUUUGUAGGUAAGGAUGUUGUUGUUGUCUGCAUUGUGGUGCUUUGUUCAGGUGUUGUUGAUUGUUCAGUUGUAGAUGUUAAAACAGUUGUAGUUGUUGGUUCAGUUGUAGAUCUUAAAACAGUUGUUGUUGUUGGUUUACCCGUAGAUGUAAGUUGUGUUGUUUCUGUAGGAGGGGCUCUAGUUGUAAGCAGAGUUGCAGUUGUAGGUGAGUUUGUUGAAACCUCAGUUGUAGAUUGAGCUGUACUUGUUGUAGGUAUGGAUGUUGUUGCUGUCUGCAUUGUGGUGCUGUGUUCAGAUGUUGUUGAUUGUUCAGUUGUAGAUGUUGCAGCAAUUGUGGUUGUUGGUUCAGCAAUAGAUGUAAGUUUUGUUGUUGUUGUUUCUUUAGGAGGGCCUGUAGUUGUAACUUGAAAUGUAGUUCUUGGUGAGUUUGUUGAAACCUCAGUUGUAGAUUGAGCUAUACUUGUUGUAGGUUGGGAUUUUGUUCCUAUCUGUGUUGUGGUGCUUUGUUCUGAUGUAGUUGAUUGUUCUGUUGUAGAUAUUAAAACAGUUGUGGUUAUUGGUUCAGUUGUAGAUGUUAAAAAAGUUGUGGUUGUUGGUUCAGCCGUAGAUGUAAGUUGUGUUUCUGUUGUUUCUGUUGAAGGGGCUGUAGUUGUAACCUGAGAUGUAGGUAUAGCUGAGUUUGUUGUAACCAGGGUUGUAGAUUGAGCUGUAUUUGUUGUAGGUAGAGUAGUUGUUGCUGUCUGCAUUGUGGUGCUUUGUUCAGAUGUAGUUGAUUGUUCAGUUGUAGACGUUGACGGAGUUGUGGUUGUUGGUUGAGUUGUAGAUGUUAAAACAGUUGUGGUUGUUGGUUCAACCGCAGAUGUAAAUUGUGUUGUUGUUGUUUCUAUAGGAGGGGCUGUAGUUGUAAGCAGAGAUGCAGUUGUAGGUGAGUUUGUUGUUACCUCAGUUGUAGAUUGAGCUGUACUUGUAGGUAGGGAUGUUUUUACUGUCUGCAUUGUGGUGCUUUUUUCAGAUGUAGUUGAUUGUUCAGUUGUAGAUGAUGAAGCAGUUGUGGUUAUUAGUUCAUUUGUAGAUGAUGAAGCAGUUGUGGUUGUUGGUUCAGCUGUAGAUGUAAGUUGUGUUGUUUCUGUAGGAGGGGCUAUAGUUGUAACCCGAGGUGUAGUUGUAGGUGAGUUUGUUGUAACCAGGGUUGUAGAUUGAGCUGUACUUGUUGUAGGUAGGGAUGAUGUUGUUGUCUGCAUUGGGGUGCUUUGUUCAGAUGUAGUUGACUGUUCAGUUUUAGAUGUUGAAGCAGUUGUGGUUUUUGGUUCAGCAGUAGAUGUAAGUUGCAUUGUCUCUGCUGGAGGGCCUGGAGUUGUAAGAAGAGUUGCAGUUGUAGGUGAGUUUGUUGUAACCUCAGUUGUCGAUUGUGCUGAACUUGUGGUAGGUGGUGGUGAUGUUGUUGCUGUCUCUGUUGUUGUGCUUUGUUCAGAUGUAGUUGACUGUUCAGUUUUAGAUGUUGAAGCAGUUGUGGUUGUUGGUUCAGAAGUAGAUGUAAGUUGCGUUGUCUCUGUUGGAGGGCCUGGAGUUGAAAGAAGAGUUGCAGUUGUAGGUGAGUUUGUUGUAAUCUCAGUUGUAGAUUGAGCUGUACUUGUUGUAGAUAGGGAUGUUGUUGCCGCCUGCGUUGUGGUGCUGUGUUCAGAUGUAGUUGAUUGUUCAGUUGUAGAUGUUGAAGCAGUUGUGGUUGUUAGUACAGUUGUAUAUGAUGAAUCAGUUGUGGUUGUUGGUUCAUUUGUAGAUGAUAAAACAGUUGUGGUUGUUGGUUCAGCAGAAGAUGUAAGUUGUGUUGUUGUUUCUGUAGGAGGGGCUGAAGUUGUAACCUGCGAUGUAGUUGUAGGCGAGUUUUUUGUAACCAGGGUUGUAGAUUGAGCUGUACUUGUUGUAGGUAGGGAUGAUGUUGUUGUCUGCAUUGGGGUGCUUUGUUCAGAUGUAGCUGAUUGUUCAGUUGUAGAUGUUGAAGCAGUUGUGGUUGUUAGUUCAGUUGUAGAUGUAAGUUGUGUUGUUGUUGUUUCUGUAGGAGGGCCUGGAGUUGUAAGCAGAGUUGCAGUUGUAGGUGAGUUUGUUGUAACCUCAGUUGUAGAUUCAGCUGUACUUGUUGUAAGUAGGGAUAUUGUUGCCAUCUGUGUUGUGGUGCUUUGUUCUGAUGUAGUUGAUUGUUCUGUUGUAGAUGUUAAAACAGUUGUGAUUAUUGGUUCAGCCGUAGAUGUAAGUUGUGUUGUUGUUGUUUCUGUAGGAGGGCCUGGAGUUGUAAGCAAAGUUGCAGUUGUAGGUGAGUUUGUUGUAACCUCAGUUGUAGAUGGGGCUGUACUUGUUGUAGAUAGGGAUGUUGUUGCCGUCUGCGUUGUGGUGCUGUGUUCAGAUGUAGUUGAUUGUUCUGUCGUAGAUGUUAAAACAGUUGUGGUUGUUGGUUCAGCUGUAGAUGAUGAAUCAGUUGUGGUUGUUGGUUCAGCUGUAGAUGUAAGUUUUGUUGUUGUUUCUGUAGGAGGGGCUGUAAUUGUAACCUGUGAUGUAGUUAUAGGUGAGUUUGUUGUAACCAGGGUUGUAGAUUGAGCUGUACUUGUUGUAGGUAAGGAUGAUGUUGUUGUCUGCAUUGGGCUGCUUUGUUCAGAUGUAGUUGAUUGUUCAGUUGUAGGUGUUGAAGCAGUUAUGGUUGUUAGUUCAGUUGUAGAUGAUGAAGCAGUUGUGGUUGUUGGUUCAGCAGUAGAUGUAAGUCUUGUUGUUUCUGUAGGAGGGGUUGUAGUUGUAGGUGAGUUUGUUGUAACCUCAGUUGUAGAUUGAGCUGUACUUGUUGUAGGUAGGGAUGUUGUUGCCGUCUGCGUUGUGGUGCUUUGUUCAGAUGUAGUUGAUUGUUCUGUCGUAGAUGUUAAAACAGUUGUGCUUGUUGGUUCAGCUGUAGAUGAUGAAGCAGUUGUGGUUGUUGGUUCAGUUGUAGAUGUUAAAACAGCUGUGGUUGUUGGUUCAGCUGUAGAUGUAAGUUUUGUUGUUGUUUCUGUAGGAGGGGCUGUAAUUGUAACCUGUGAUGUAGUUAUAGGUGAGUUUGUUGUAACCAGGGUUGUAGAUUGAGCUGUACUUGUUGUAGGUAAGGAUGAUGUUGUUGUCUGCAUUGGGGUGCUUUGUUCAGAUGUAGUUGAUUGUUCAGUUGUAGAUGUUGAAGCAGUCGUGGUUGUUAGUUCAGUUGUAGAUGUAAGUUGUGUUGUUGUUGUUUCUGUUGGAGGGCCUGGAGUUGUAAGCAGAGUUGCAGUUGUAGGUGAGUUUGUUGUAACCUCAGUUGUAGAUUGAGCUGUACUUGUUGUAGGUAGGGACGUUGUUGCCGUCUGUGUUGUGGUGCUUUGUCCUGAUGUAGUUGAUUGUUCUGUUGUAGAUGUUAAAACAGUUGUAAUUAUUGGUUCAGCCGUAGAUGUAAGUUGUCUUGUUGUUGUUUCUGUAGGAGGGGCUGUAAUUGUAAUCCGAGAUGUAGUUGUAGGUGAGUUUGUUGUAACCAGGGUUGUAGAUUGAGCUGUACUUGUUGUAGGUAGGGAUGAUGUUGUUGUCUGCAUUGGGGUGCUUUGUUCAGAUGUAGUUGAUUGUUCAGUUGUAGGUGUUGAAGCAGUUAUGGUUGUUAGUUCAGUUGUAAACGAUGAAGCAGCUGUGGUUGCUGGUUCAGCAGUAGAUGUAAUUCUUGUUCUUUCUGUAGGAGGUGUUGUAGUUGUAAGCAGAGUUGCAGUUGUAGGUGAGUUUGUUGUAACCUCAGUUGUAGAUUGAGCUGUACUUCUUGAAAGUAGUGAUGUUGUUGCCAUCUGUAUUGUGGUGCUUUGUUCAGAUAUAGUUGAUUGUUCUGUUGUAGAUGUUAAAACAGUUGUGGUUGUUGAUUCAGUUGUAGAUGAUGAAGCAGUUGUGGUUGUUGGUUCAGUUGUAGAUGUUAAAAGAGUUUUGGUUGUUGGUUCAGCUGUAGAUGUAAGUUUUGUUGUUGUUUCUGUAGGAGAGGCUGUAAUUGUAACCCGAGAUGUAGUUGUAGGUGAGUUUGUUGUAACCAGGGUUGUAGAUUGAGCUGUACUUGUUGUAGGUAGGGAAGUUGUUGCCGUCUGCGUUGUGGUGCUGUGUUCAGAUGUAGUUGAUUGUUCUGUCAUAGAUGUUAAAACAGUUGUGGUUGUUGGUUCAGCUGUAGAUGUAAGUUUUGUUGUUGUUUCUGUAGGAGGGGCUGUAAUUGUAACCCGAGAUGUAGUUGUAGGUGAGUUUGUUGUAACCAGGGUUGUAGAUUGAGCUGUACUUGUUGUAGGUAGGAAUGAUGUUGUUGUCUGCAUUGGGGUGCUUUGUUCAGAUGUAGUUGAUUGUUCAGUUGAAGGUGUUGAAGCAGUUAUGGUUGUUAAUUCAGUUGUAGAUGAUGAAGCAGUUGUGGUUGUUGGUUCAGCAGUAGAUGUAAGUCUUGUUGUUUCUGUAGUAGGGGUUGUAGUUGUAAGAAGAGUUGUAGUUGUAGGUGAGUUUGUUGUAACCAGGGUUGUAGAUUGAGCUGUACUUGUUGUAGGUAGGGAUGAUGUUGUUGUCUGCAUUGGGGUGCUUUGUUCAGAUGUAGUUGAUUGUUCAGUUGAAGGUGUUGAAGCAGUUAUGGUUGUUAGUUCAGUUGUAGACGAUGAAGCAGUUGUGGUUGUUGGUUCAGCAGUAGAUGUAAGUCUUGUUGUUUCUGUAGGAGGGGUUUUAGUUGUAAGAAGAGUUGUAGUUGUAGGUGAGUUUGUUGUAACCUCAGUUGUAGAUUGAGCUGUACUUGUUGUAGGUAGGGAUGUUGUUGCCAUCUGCAUUGUGGUGGUGUGUUCAGAUGUAGUUGAUUGUUCUAUCGUAGAUGUUAAAACAGUUGUGGUUGUUGGUUCAGCUGUAGAUGAUGAAGCAGUUGUGGUUGUUGGUUCAACCGUAGAUGUAAGUUGUGUUGUUGUUGUUUCUGUAGGAGGGGCUGUAGUUGUAAGCAGAGUUGCAGUUGUAGGUGAGAUUGUUGUAACCUCAGUUGUAGAUUGAGCUGUACUUGUUGUAGGUAGGGAUUUUGUUCCUGUCUGUGUUGUGGUGCUUUGUUCUGAUGUAGUUGAUUGUUCUGUUGUAGAUGUUAAAACAGUUGUGGUUGUUGGUUCAGCUGUAGAUGAUGAAGCAAUUGUGGUUGUUGGUUCAGCUGUAGAUGAUGAAGCAGUUGUGGUUGUUGGUUCAACCGUAGAUGUAAGUUGUGUUGUUGUUGUUUCUGUAGGAGGGGCUGUAGUUGUAAGCAGAGUUGCAGUUGUAGGUGAGAUUGUUGUAACCUCAGUUGUAGAUUGAGCUGUACUUGUUGUAGGUAGGGAUUUUGUUCCUGUCUGUGUUGUGGUGCUUUGUUCUGAUGUAGUUGAUAGUUCAGUUGUAGAUGUUGAAACAGUUAUGGUUGUUGGUUCAGCUGUAGAUGUAAGUUUUGUUGUUGUUUCUGUAGGAGGGGCUGAAAUUGUAAUCCGAGAUGUAGUUGUAGGUGAGUUUGUUGUAACCAGGGUUGUAGAUUGAGCUGUACUUGUUGUAGGUAGGGAUGAUGUUGUUGUCUGCUUUGGGGUGCUUUGUUCAGAUGUAGUUGAUUGUUCAGUUGUAGGUGUUGAAGCAGUUGUGGUUUUUGGUUCAGUUGUAGAUGUUGCAGCAGUUGUGGUUUUUGGUUCAGCCGUAGAUGUAAGUUGUGUUGUUGUUGUUUCUGUAGGAGGAGCUGUAGUUGUAAGCAGAGUUGUAGUUGUGGGUGAGUUUGUUGUAACCUCAGUUGUAGAUUGAGCUGUACUUGUUGUAGGUAGGGAUGAAUUUGCUGACUGCAUUGUGGUGCUUUGUUCAGAUGUAGUUGAUUGCUCAGUUGUGAGUUGUGUUGUUUUUUCUGUAGGAAGGCUUGUAGUUGUAAGCCGAGUUUUAGUUGUAGCUGUGUUUGUUCUAACAGUCGUAGAUUCAGUUGUUGCAGUUAUAGGUGAGUUUGUUGAUUCAGGUGUUUGUGUUGGUUUGGCAGUGGUUGUAAACAGAGUUUCAGUUGUUGUUGAACAGUAUUGUAUAUGCUGUUGUGUCAGUUGUAAGCAGAAUUGUGUCGUUUGUGCAGGUGAGUAUGAUGUGACAGUCAUAGAUUCAGUUGUAGGUGAGUUUGCUGACUCAGCUGAUGCGCUACAAAACACUGUUGUUAAAAUCAAAAGUACAAAGCAAUUUUAGAGCAAUUUUCAUAUUUAAAUAAGUAACAAGAGAAAUAAGGAAUCUGGAUGUUCAGUAACUUACAGACCUAAACUUAACAAUGCAAUUGUCAGUGUUUUUCUACUCAUCUUGGUAGCUGUCAAAUAGACCACCUGUAAACAUAUAAUACAUAACAUUAACAAACAUGUAAUGAAUGGCAUCAGUUUUGGCAUGUCAGUGAAGUGAGAAAAAAUUAAUAGUACACCCUCUUUCCAGAUAUUUAAUAUGUUUUUUUUUGUCUUGUUUUGUUUUAUUUUCCUGUGAAUGAAAGACGAUUUGUCAUUUUUGCACAGUCCACAUUAAUGAAGAUGAAAGUAGUUAUGAUCAAUAAAAACACAUGGGAAGAAUUACACUACCAUUCAAACGUUUAAG